UACUUUGGCUAAAGACUUCCAGAAUCAUCGAUCUAUGAUAUCACAUAGGAUGUUUGCUCUCCUUAUUAGGAGUGACUGAUCCCUCAUUGAUUACUCACAACCUUCAUGCAUACUUUACCACAUCCAAAAUAUCCCAUAUAAGGAUCAAAGAAUCAAGUUAGGUAGUGAACCAAAAUAUGGAUUCAUGUACACAAGGUAUUAUGACGAUCUCAGGUCAAAGGAUCACUUACACAACUCCCAUU
rnacentral:lncRNA from 1 species